rnacentral:rRNA from 1 species
UAUUACACAAUGGGGGAAAACCUGAUGCAGCGACGCCGCGUGAGUGAGGAAGUAUUUCGGUAUGUAAAGCUCUAUCAGCAGGGAAGAUAAUGACGGUAGCUGACUAAGAAGCCCGGGCUAACUACGUUCCAGCAGCCGCGGUAAUACGUAGGGGGCAAGCGUUAUCCGGAUUUACUGGGUGUAAAGGGUGCGUAGGUGGCAGGGCAAGUCAGAUGUGAAAGCCCGGGGCUCAACCCCGGUACUGCAUUUGAAACUGUCCAGCUGGAGUGCAGGAGAGGUAAGCGGAAUUCCUAGUGUAGCGGUGAAAUGCGUAGAUAUUAGGAGGAACACCAGUGGCGAAGGCGGCUUACUGGACUGUAACUGACACUGAGGCACGAAAGCGUGGGGAGCA